rnacentral:rRNA from 1 species
AUUGAACGCUGGCUGCAGGCCUAACACAUGCAAGUCGAACGAGUGGCGGACGGGUGAGUAAUGUCUGGGAAACUGCCUGAUGGAGGGGGAUAACUACUGGAAACGGUAGCUAAUACCGCAUACCAUCAGAUGUGCCCAGAUGGGAUUAGCUAGUUGGUGGGGUAACGGCUGACCAAGGCGACGAUCCCUAGCUUGUCUGAGAGGAUGACCAGCCCCACUGGAACGGAGCCAAGGUCCAGACUCCUGUGGGAGGCAGCAGUGGGGAAUAUUGUACAAUUGGAGCAAGCCUGAUGCAGCCCUGCCGCGUGUAUGAAGAAGGCCUUCGGGUUGUAAAGUACUUUCAGCGGGGAGGCGUUACCCGCAGAAGAAGCACCGGCUAACUCCGUGCCAGCAGCCGCGGUAAUUC